UUCUCAACAACCUCCAUCCAUCCCAGCACCCACCCAUUCCCAAAGAGAUACCCAGCAUUGUUUAUGUGGAGUUGGAAACAAUACACUCCCCACUGCUGGUUAAUUUACAUCAGAUACAGCCAGGCCCAGGAAGCAAAGUGCCUGUCGUUUUCACCCCUUUUUUCUUCUCCCUUGCUUGCUCAUGCCCCCUCACCCCUUUUAAUUUAAAUUACUCGUUUUAACUUAAAAACUUCUGGAUGUUUUAUUACCUUGGCAGCUUUUUCUCUGGAUUGACUAAAAAGGUCCUGAAUUCCAGCAGAAUGGCUGAAGCCAACCAGUCUCAAGACCUCAACCAAGGAACCAACCAACUCUGCACAGGAAUGCGGUUUCUUCAUCUCCCUGUCCCAGGAAUUCCCCCUUGCUUCUUGACCAAUCAGCAAUCCCCACAUUUUAGCCCUACCUGUUCAGACCCUUUACAAGCUCCAUCCCCAAACCCUGGAGGGAGGAGGAUUUGAAGGUUCCUCUGUCUCAUUUGACUGCCCUACAAUUAUUAAACUCUUUCUCUACUGCAACUCCCAUUGUGUCUGCAUACUGGUCUGUUAUCAUGCAACAAGCAAUCAAACCUAGUGGUCCUAUAACACUUUGGUUUAACUUUAUUUAGUUAAAAUACAGUAAUUUUUAAACCAGCCUAUUUUAAGUGGGAAGGUGGAACAGUUUGUAACAUACCAUGUUAAAAAAUAUAAACAUAAUAACAAUAAGACCAAUAUAAAUAAGCUGCUAUUAUAUACUGGUUAACCUCAUAAUGAUCAUGUGUCAA
rnacentral:lncRNA from 10 species